rnacentral:misc_RNA from 1 species
CAACCCUCAAGCCCCUCUGGCGGUUUGGCGUUGGGGAUCGGCCCCGCUUCCGGCGGCCGGCCCCGAAUACCAUCGGCGGUCACGUCGUGCGACUCUGUGUAGUAGUAAACCACUCGCAUUGGAACACGGUCGUGGCCACGCCGCAAACGAUCUUCGGAUCCUUCUCAA